UGCUACGUUUAGCCAAUUUGU
rnacentral:piRNA from 1 species